UCAGAAACUUUCAAAGCUGUACAGCGUUUGGAAUGAAAGGGCGGUGUUUGGCUGUAACUCAAAUCUAGGAGCAGGGAGAAUACAUACCCUCUGCUAGCUCUUAUUCAGCCCGUCCCGAUGAAUAGGUUUGUGACUGACGCCUGAACAGGAAGAGGAGAAACAGUGUAGGAGCAUCUCUGUGUCCCAAUCACCAUGAAGCUGUACAGACUGACACUCCUCCUGACACUCGUGCGGGCUGAUAUAGAUGUACCAGUGCCUGCUUCAUAUAUUCUGAAGUGUUCCCAGUUCCCAACACACGAACAUUGCAAUGAGGAUUCUGAAUUUAUUUGUGGCACAGAUGGACAGGAUUAUGGAAAUGCUUGCAUCCUUUGUGAAUAUAACAGGCUGCACAAGAAAGAUGUUCGCGUCCAGCACCUCGGAUUCUGCACAUGUGCUCAAAAGACCAGCCAGGAGCAGGUAUUGAGUUAAAAUGUGAUGAUUAUCCGAAAAUCCCAGACUGUCCAUCACGCUACAUUCCCCUCUGUGGAACAAAUGGCAAGGAUUAUCUAAACCCCUGCUAUUUGUGUCGCCACAACAAGAGAACCGGAGAGAAUGUUGCAAUCUUACAUGAAGGAUUCUGUACCUGUCACGACAUGAAACUCAGUUAAACUUGAGUUCCAGCUCAAAUGGAAAGACAAUAUUACUGAAUCUGUGUGUGCGUUGGAUUACAGUGCCAGUAAAAAGACCAACCCAA